AUGGCUUGCAGGAGGUGCCUUACGCAUACAGUACUAGUUAACGGGUACGGGGUCCUUGCUUCGGGCCCAAGCGCGCUCCAACGGAUUGACGACGUUUCAUCAGAAUCAGAAGACGAAGGGGGGAUAGGUUUCCCUGCAGGAGGCACGUUUGCCGAGUCUGAUUCGAAUGAGGAAGAUCAGAUCCAGGUCAAUGGGAAGGCGCCCUCGAUCGGGUCGAGGUGCAGCGUGAAGAAGUUGCACGAGCUGAUUUCCUCAUUCGAUGACGAGAAAAGACAAUAUGUAGCCGAGAUGGAGUCUGGGGAGCUGCUGGAACUACCAAAGAUAACAAGGACGGAUAGGCAUUUUCUAAUGUCUAUCCUAAGUCACCUCGAUGAGGAGGCAAGUUCAAUUACAAUCGAUCACAAGCGCGACAUGCAAUUUUACGAUGAAGAUGUCAAUCUGGUCAUCGGCAUACCAUGUGGAACUGCUCCUGUUCGGCCUCCAGACCACUCUCUUCAGGAGGCGGUGGUGACAGAGAUCAAAGAGAUGUUUGGAAUCGCUCCAGCAUACUGCCAAUCGUCGAAGCUGUGA
rnacentral:rRNA from 1 species